AGUAGGAGGACUUCGUCGGGGUAUUGCUCGACGACAACACUAGUUGUGUUCGUCGCUCUCUGCUUGGUAGGAGUGUGGAUGAUGACCUCGUCGACUGUUGUGCCUGAAGAAAUCUCUUCAUCUGAGAACAAAUCUGAGAUGAAAGAUCAGGCUUCUGAGGUUGAUUCUAAACCGUUUGAGGAUAGCUCGGGGGAUGUGCCAGAAGAUUCAA
rnacentral:misc_RNA from 1 species